rnacentral:lncRNA from 1 species
UUAUCCACAGGGCAGGACCUGAGCAGAGAGGGCUGUCUCUUUCGAACCAGCAAGUGCUAUCGGGGAGAGACGCUAUCGUGGACACGAAGUUUUUCGCAGGAGUUUGUAUCAGUGAGUGUUUUUCGUUUGCUUUGGAAGCUUUUUGUUUGUUUUGGUAGAGCGAGGGUGUCGGUCCGACGGCCGUCGGCUGGCCGGCACUUUUGCUUUAUUUUUCUUUCAUUUGGCGGUAAUAUGCCAGGCUCUAUAAGGAAUAGUGAAAGUGAUAUGGAUGAGGAAUCUCAGGGUGCUGGGCGCGGAGGGGCGAAAAAGAGAAAGGGAAGUGGUGGUGGUGGUGGUGGUAAUGGCGACGAAAGCUUAGCUAGUAAAGGUAGAAGAAUGGAGGAGGACGAGUUUAAAGUUUUGAUGAAAUUUAAUGAGGAUAUAUCUAAACAUGACAUUUCCAAUCCAAUGCGUCUAACCAAGCUGAUAAAAGAAGCUGUUGGAGAGGUGGUAUCAGCAAGGUAUAUAAGCAACAAUAGGAUCAUAGUGUUUUGCAAGUCUAGCCAGCAAAAACAGAAGGCUUUAAGUUUGAGUAAGCUAGGGAAGGAGGAUGUGGAAUGUGUGGAGGUGGGAGUAAGAGAUGGAACAAAAGGAGUCAUUACUGGUGUCCCUAUGAAUAUUUCUGAAGAGGUAAUGAAAACCUGUAUGGAAGGAGGGACACUAGUGAAGGCAACACGAUUUCACACUACCAAGGAGGGUAAAAAGGUUCCAAGCACAACGAUCUUGCUGCAGUUCAGUGAACUGCAGCUUCCUAAACGUGUGAUGAUUGGAUAUGUUUGCUACCCAGUCAGGCCAUAUGUGCCGGCACCGCUCAGGUGCUUUAAAUGCCAAAGGCUGGGGCAUGUCGCAGCAGUCUGCAGAGGGGCAAGGAGAUGUUGUAGAUGCGGAGGAGAUCACGACUAUGGACAAUGUGGGGAGGGAGUGCAGCCCAGAUGUUGCAAUUGUGGUGGGGCACAUAGCGCAGCAUUUCAGGGUUGUGUUAAACAGCAGGAGGAACAGGAGGUACAAAAAUAUAGGGCAGUUAACCAGGUG